UACACUAUUAGUGGAAAAAGAAAAUCUGCAGAGAUAUAUCCAAUUCAAGAAACAAGGGAGGUACACAUCAGAAGGCCCUCCGCGACACUUUACUGCCCACCUGCCAGAAACAGCAAACAUCUAAACCAUGAAAAUGGAAGAAACAAUCCUGAGAACCUGGAUUGGCACUGGAUUGAUCAAGGAUUUAAUUGCUUAUGCAUAUCAAUAAAACAAGGUAACAGUUAAUGAGAGGCACACCAGAUACAACUACUUAAAAGCAAAAUGAGGAAAAGACAGAAGGUAAGAAUUC